rnacentral:rRNA from 1 species
CGGGGUGAGUAACGCGUGGAUAACCUGCCUUACACUGGGGGAUAACACUUAGAAAUAGGGUGCUAAUACCGCAUAAGCGCACAGAGCCGCAUGGCUCAGUGUGAAAAACUUCGGUGGUGUAAGAUGGAUCCGCGUCUGAUUAGCUGGUUGGCGGGGUAGAAGCCCACCAAGGCGACGAUCAGUAGCCGGCCUGAGAGGGUGAACGGCCACAUUGGGACUGAGACACGGCCCAAACUCCUACGGAAGGCAGCAG